rnacentral:lncRNA from 1 species
CACCCAAGUUUACAUCCUCUAACUUUCCCACUACUUAUAAGGUUGCCACACUUCCUGAAUUGCAGGCAUUUCUUCAGUCCUAAACAGAAAAUGCUAGCAUGCCUUGCUACUUUAAGUGGAGGACGAGAGCUUGAUAAUCAUUCCUGGAAUAGUUCACAGAACAAAAUAUUAGAUGGGAAGUUAACUGACGCAGAGGAGAGAGGACCAAAUGGUGAAGUGGUAACAUCACUAUCUACAGAACAACCACCAUGCUGCUAGUGGAUACUGCAAGAAGAGAGAAGCAACAGGAACUAAAGAAAAACAGAAACAUUUUGUGAAGUCUGAUGUGUCCAGAAAAAGGGUUCCUAGGAAUUUCUUGCAGGAUAACUGACUGCUGCAGAAAGAAUACCAGGAAAACGGCUGGACACCAGAACUUCCUUCAGUACUUGCUACACUGGAAAUAGUACAGGUUGGGUCCUACACUGCAACCUAAAAGGAUGUGGGAUCAUGUUGAUUAAUCUGCCAAAGGAUUUGAUCUGGUAUCUUCCAUCAAUGGAGCACGUAAUUGCUGUUUUCUCAUCUUUCUUCUUUUGAAGAAGUAUUAUCGAAAACAGGAUUCAGGGGACAGACAGAUCUGAUUCCAACUCUCAUCUUGCACCACUUAUGGGAUAGGAAGCAUGGUACAUAUUAGGUUUUCCCCUUAAAAUAAACAUAUGAUUAACAUACUACCUGUGAAGCACAGGGCCUGGCAGUGUGUGCAAGUGACAAAUAAAGAAUGGCUAUUACCAUUGUUGUUAUUAUAGAAGACUCAAGGCUUUGUCAAACACAUGUUAUAAAAGGUCAAUGAAGACAGUAGCAUCUUCCUAAUUUACUAAUCUCAAUUGCCAAACCAGCCACAGGAAGUACCCUCUUCAAAUACUGGGGACUUUUUUGAAAGCUAAUGCAAGUCUAAAUACU